GGCCUGGUGGCUUAGUGGUUAGCAUUGUUUCUGCAAGUCUCCAGGGUUGGGGGUUCAAAUCCCACCUCCGCCC